UACGGGGGGGGGCAAGCGUUGUUCGGAAUUACUGGGCGUAAAGGGCUCGUAGGUGGCCAACUAAGUCAGACGUGAAAUCCCCAGGCUCAACUUGGGAACUGCGUCUGAUACUGGAUGGCUUGAUUGGGAGAGGGAUGCGAAUUCCAGGUGUAGCGGUGAAAUGCGUAGAUAUCUGGAGGAAUACCGGUGGCGAAGGCGGCAUCCUGGACC
rnacentral:rRNA from 1 species